UAAAGGUGUAUAGUACUGUCAUGACCUGGUAAAGGUGUAUAGUACUGUCAUGACCUGGUAAAGGUGUAUAGUACUGUCAUGACCUGGUAAAGGUGUAUAGUACUGUCAUGACCUGGUAAAGGUGUAUAAUACUGUCAUGACCUGGUAAAGGUGUAUAGUACUGUCAUGACCUGGUAAAGGUGUAUAAUACUGUCAUGACCUGGUAAAGGUGUAUAGUACUGUCAUGACCUGGUAAAGGUGUAUAAUACUGUCAUGACCUGGUAAAGGUGUAUAGUACUGUCAUGACCUGGUAAAGGUGUAUAGUACUGUCAUGACCUGGUAAAGGUACUGUCAUGACCUGGUAUAGGUGUAUAAUACUGUCAUGACCUGGUAAAGGUGUAUAGUACUGUCAUGACCUGGUAAAGGUGUAUAGUACUGUCAUGACCUGGUAAAGGUGUAUAGUACUGUCAUGACCUGGUAAAGGUACUGUCAUGACCUGGUAAAGGUACUGUCAUGACCUGGUAAAAGUGUAUGUCGGGGCCACACAGUAAGUUGAAAGGAACAAUCUUCCCCUUGAAGUUGUCGAUAUAUUACCCAUCAGCAUGGCUCAUAAUAUGGACACCUUCCUGUUGAUGAUGUAGCAACAAUGGCUCAGAA